GCUUAACUACCUUGGGAAAAAGAAAGACGCGGAAAGCAUCGGAAAACUUAACUCUUUCUGACACUCGCUUCCAGGUGAGGCAGGCUCCUCAUGACGCGAUGAAAACGUCAUCAAACAUCGACAUUCACUUGGAAAAUAACACAAUAUGGCUCACUGUAGCUACAAUAAACUCUCACAUUUAUUAAAGUUAACCACCGCUAUCCUAAAUAAACCUACAUUGUUACGGACAGGAUAUUCAACAUCCACCACUACGCUGCAAAUAUGUCAUACGUUUAAGACCUCAGGUCCUGAGAGGGCGUUGCAGGAGAGACAGAAGCAGCACAUGGCACGCGGCUUUCCCAAACAAAAGCCCAUUGCUGGAGUGAAACAAGUUAGUGGUGGCCUCAGGGAAGGGGGGUGUUGGGAAAUCAACCACUUCAGUGAAUUUGGCCGUUGGAUUCGCAGCUAAUGAUCCAAGUAAAACAGUGGGCAUCUUAGAUGCUGAUGUUUACGGUCCCUCAGUUCCUAAGCUGAUGAACCGGAAGGGGAACCCAGAACUAACUGACAGUAGGAGACUUCUGCAUGUAGUCUAGCUUGAGGAAUAACAGUGAUGUAUUAGCUUUGUACAUUCAUUAUAGAGAUCACAUUGAAAAGAGUACCUACAAAGUUGUGAUGUUUACUUUAUUUGUGCUUUCAGACAAUCUCUGAGACCACUUGUGAAUUUUGGGAUUCCUUGUAUGUCCAUGGAGUUUCUGGUAGAGGAUGUAGCACCCAUUGUCUGGUAGAUUGGGGACUGC